UCAAGUGUGAAAAGAGCAUUUGGUGGAUGCCUUGGCAUUAAGAGGCGAUGAAGGACGUGGCACUCUGCGAUAAGCCCCGGGGAGACGAGAGCAUUCUUUGAUCCGGGGAUUUCCGAAUGGGGAAACCCACCCCUUUAGGGGUAUCCUUGACUGAAUCCAUAGGUCAAGGAGGCAAACGAGGCGAACUGAAACAUCUCAGUAGCCUUAGGAAAGGACAUCAACCGAGACUCCGUUAGUAGUGGCGAGCGAACGCGGACCAGGCCAGUGGCUAAGCUGUAAGAACCGGAACCGUCUGGAAAGUCGGGCAACAAUGGGUGAUAGCCCCGUACGGGUAGAAAGCAGUUUAGUCCUCGAGUAGGGCGGGACACGUGAAAUCCUGUUUGAACUUGGGGAGACCACCCUCCAAGCCUAAGUACUCCUCGGUGACCGAUAGUGAACGAGUACCGUGAGGGAAAGGUGAAAAGCACCCCGACGAGGGGAGUGAAAUAGACCUGAAACCGAAUGCCUACAAGCAGUGGGAGCACUCUGUCCCCUUCGGGGGGCGGGGGUGUGACCGCGUACCUUUUGUAUAAUGGGUCAGCGAGUUAAUCUUACGAGCGAGCUUAAGCCGAUAGGUGUAGGCGUAGCGAAAGCGAGUCUGAACAGGGCGAUUCAGUUCGUGGGAUUAGACCCGAAACCUGGUGAUCUAGCCAUGGGCAGGUUGAAGGUGGGGUAACACCCACUGGAGGACCGAACCCACCUAUGUUGAAAAAUGGGGGGAUGACCUGUGGCUAGGGGUGAAAGGCCAAUCAAACCAGGAAAUAGCUGGUUCUCCGCGAAAACUAUUUCGGUAGUGCGUCGCGUAUUGCCGUCGGGGGUAGAGCACUGGAUGGGCUAGGGGGUCCUACAGACUUACCAAACCUAACCAAACUCCGAAUACCGGCGAGCAUGAGCGCGGCAGACAGACAGUGGGUGCUAAGGUCCAUUGUCGAAAGGGAAACAGCCCAGACCGCCAGCUAAGGUCCCUAAGUCACGGCUAAGUGGUGAAGGAUGUGGGAAGGCCAAGACAACCAGGAGGUUGGCUUAGAAGCAGCCACCCUUUAAAGAAAGCGUAACAGCUCACUGGUCUAAAUAAGCCGUCCUGCGCCGAAGAUGUAACGGGGCUCAAGCCAUGCACCGAAGCUGCGGGUGUGUCUUUGACACGCGGUAGCGGAGCGUUCCGUAGGCCUGUGAAGGGGUCCCGCGAGGGGCCCUGGAGGUAUCGGAAGUGAGAAUGCUGACAUGAGUAGCGACAAAGAGUGUGAGAAACACUCUCGCCGAAAGUCCAAGGUUUCCUGCGCAAGGUUAAUCCGCGCAGGGUGAGCCGGCCCCUAAGGCGAGGGCGAAAGCCGUAGUCGAUGGGAAUCUGGUUAAUAUUCCAGAGCCUGGCGGAGGUGACGAAUCUCGUAAGUUGUCAAUUCUUAUUGGAUUGAAUUGGCUGCGAAGAGGUUCCAGGAAAUAACCCCGCCAUUAUAGACCGUACCCCAAACCAACACAGGUGGACAGGUAGAGCAUACCAAGGCGCUUGAGAGAACGAUGUUGAAGGAACUCGGCAAAUUACCCCCGUAACUUCGGGAUAAGGGGGCCCUCGUUCCGGGCAACCGGAUCGGGGGGGCACAAAACAGGGGGUGGCGACUGUUUACUAAAAACAUAGGACUCUGCGAAGCCGCAAGGCGACGUAUAGGGUCUGACGCCUGCCCGGUGCUGGAAGGUUAAAAGGAAGGGUGCAAGCUCUGAAUUGAAGCCCCAGUAAACGGCGGCCGUAACUAUAACGGUCCUAAGGUAGCGAAAUUCCUUGUCGGGUAAGUUCCGACCUGCACGAAUGGC
rnacentral:rRNA from 1 species